AUUGAACGCUGGCGGCAGGCCUAACACAUGCAAGUCGAACGAGUGGCGGACGGGUGAGUAAUAGCUGGGAAACGGCCCGAUGGAGGGGGAUAACUACUGGAAACGGUAGCUAAUACCGCAUACUAUCGGAGGGGCCCAGAUUGGAUUAGCUAGUUGGUGGGGUAAAGGCUCACCAAGGCGACGAUCCCUAGCUGGUCUGAGAGGACGACCAGCCACACUGGAACUGAGCCACGGCCCAGACUCCUACGGGAGGCAGCAGUGGGGAAUAUUGUACAAUGGGCGCAAGCCUGAUGCAGCCAUGCCGCGUGUAUAAUGAAGGCCUUCGGGUUGUAAAGUACUUUCAGCGGGGAGGCGUUACCCGCAGAGUAAGCGCCGGCUAACUCCGUGCCAGCAGCCGCGGUAAUUC
rnacentral:rRNA from 1 species